rnacentral:lncRNA from 1 species
UUAGGGAAAAUUCCACGAUUUUUAGGGAAAAUUCCAGGAAUUUAUUGGAAAAUUCCAGGAUUUUAUUAGAAAUUCCAGGAUUUUUGUGGAAAUUCCAGGAUUUUCAGUGAAAAUUCCAGGGUUUUGGUGAAAAUUCCAGGGUUUUUCAUGGAAAAAAUGGGGAAUUUUAAAAGGCAGGGAGUGGAAAUUCCAUCGGGAAUGGGAGGAGAGGAAGAGGAGGGAGAUGGGAAUGGGGGAAUGUGGAAAUUUGGGAAUUUGGGAAUUCGGGAUUGUGGGAAUUGGGGAAUUUGGGAAUUCGGGAAUUUGGGAAUGUGGGAAUUGGGAAAUUUGGGAAUUCAGGAAUUUGGGAAUGUGGGAAUUUGGGAAUUGGGGAAUUCAGGAAUUCAGGGAUGUGGGAAUGUGGGAAUUGGGAAAUUUGGGAAUUUGGGAAUGUGGGAAUCCGGGAAUUUGGGAAUGUGGGAAUUGUGGAAUUCAGGAAUUCAGGAAUGUGGGAAUUCGAGAAUUGGGGAAUGUGGGAAUUUGGAGAAUUCAGGAAUGUGGGAAUUCAGGAAUGUGGGAAUUGGGGAAUUCAGGAAUGUGGAAAUUCGGGAAUUCGGGAAUGUGGGAAUUCGGGAAUGUGGGCGGGGCGGCCAAGCAGGAUCCCAAAUUUCGGCGGGGCUGGAACGGGGUUGGGCCAUUCCCAAAAUUCCGGGAACGGGAACGGGAGAGGGGCGGGAAAGGCGGGGGAGGGAUCCGGGAAUUUGGGAUGGAUUUGGGGAAUUUGGGAGGGAUUUGGGGAAUUUGGGAAUUGGGAGGGAUUUGGGGAAUUUGGGAGGGAUUUGGGGAAUUUGGGAAUUUGGGAUGGAUCCGGGGAAUCAGCAGGACCUGGGAUGGAUUCAGGGAUUUUGGGAUUCAGGGAAUUUGGGAAGGAUUUGGGAUGAAUUUGGGUCAGAUCCGGGAAUCCCAAUCCAGCCCCAUUUUUUUGGGAAUUUGGGAUGGAUUUGGGAUGAAUUUGGGAUGGAUCCCGGAAUCCCAAUCCCACUCCAGCCCCAUUUUUCAGGAUUUUGGGAUGGAUUUGGGAUUUGGGACGGACCCAGGGCUCCCCUCCACCA